GGGCGACCUCUUGUGGGUGUCGGUGGCCGAUUAGCGUUCAGCUCCUGCAUCCAUGUAUCCUCCAUAUGGCGUUCUGGAGAUGACUCUGGUGAUGAUAUUGCUGGUGGUAUGGGAUGAAUGAGUUUUGGAACAACAACAAGAUCUCUACCCAAAACUAAGAUUGCUCCAGCAUUAUUUGCAGUUCCACAAUAAUUGGUAGCUGAGAAAAGUGUAAUUAGAUGUCCCAUC
rnacentral:misc_RNA from 1 species